rnacentral:rRNA from 1 species
AUUGAACGCUGGCGGGAGGCCUUACACAUGCAAGUCGAGCGGAGCGGCGGACGGGGGAGGAAGGCCUAGGAAUCUGCCUGGUAGUAGGGGAUAACGUUAGGAAACGGGCGCUACUACCGCAUACUAUCAGAAGAGACGAGGUCGGAUUAGCUAGUUGGUGGGGUAAAUGCCUACCAAGGCGACGAUCCGUAACUGGUCUGAGAGGACGAUCAGUCACACUGGAACUGAGACACGGUCCAGACUCCUACGGGAGGCAGCAGUGGGGAAUCUUGGACAAUGGGCGAAAGCCUGAUCCAGCCAUGCCGCGUGUGUGAAGAAGGUCUUCGGAUUGUAAAGCACUUUAAGUUGGGAGGCGUUACCAACAGAAUAAGCACCGGCUAACUUCGUGCCAGCAGCCGCGGUAAUUC